UACGGAGGGUGCGAGCGUUGUUCGGAAUUAUUGGGCGUAAAGAGCUCGUAGGCGGCUUGUCGCGUCGUCUGUGAAAUCCCGCGGCUCAACCGCGGGUCUGCAGUCGAUACGGGCAGGCUAGAGUUCGGUAGGGGAGACUGGAAUUCCUGGUGUAGCGGUGAAAUGCGCAGAUAUCAGGAGGAACACCCGUGGCGAAGGCGGUUCUCUGGGACGGUACUGACGCUGAGGAGCGAAAGCGUGGGGAGCGAACAGG
rnacentral:rRNA from 1 species